UCUCGGCCUCCCGACUCCUACAGUGGCUAGGGCGAGCAGGUGCCACGGCGGCCGCCAGCGAGAUCAAGCGGGAGGAGAAGGAGGACGAGGAGAACACGUCAGCGGCUGACCACUCGGAGGAGGAGAAGAAGGAGCUGAAGGCCCCCCGGGCCCGGACCACAGUACGGACGAGGUGCUGUCCCUGGAGGAGAAAGACCUGAGGGACCGGGAGAGGCGCAUGGCCAAUAACGCGCGGGAGCGGGUGCGCGUGCGGGAUAUUAACGAGGCCUUCCGGGAGCUGGGGCGCAUGUGCCAGAUGCACCUCAAGUCGGACAAAGCGCAGACCAAGCUGCUCAUCCUGCAGCAGGCCGUGCAGGUCAUCCUGGGGCUGGAGCAGCAGGUGCGAGGUAGGCUCC
rnacentral:lncRNA from 1 species